rnacentral:lncRNA from 1 species
ACAUACCAUCACACUAUAUGAUGAAAACCAAUAGAAUACAUAAUCAAUCAAAGCAAUCAUGUACUAGUCUGUGUUGCAGUUUAGAAUGUUUUAAGCAACUCCAUUCUUGCUGUAGAAAAACUAAGGCCAAAAAAACCAUGACAUGCCAUAACAAUAGCACAGCAGAUUUUUCUUUCCCUCUAAAGAGCCUGCUCUAUUAUUUGCAUCCUAAAUCUUUUGGCCAACUAUUAUGAAAUUACAUGGAUAUAUCAUAAAUAAAUGAUCAGUAUUUAUUAGAAGUUAUUAUUUGUAUGCUCUGAAAAAUGUCAAUAUAAAAGCAUAUAUUCCUACAAAGUAUCAACUGUUAUGAAUGAUAUAUAAAGCAUUUACAAACAACCAUAUCUUACAUUACAAAUGCAUUCUUGCGUAUGGCUCUGCCAUUCUCUGGCGUAAUGAGAUUGUUGUAUAAUGUCUUCUAUUUAAACAAUGACCAACAAGUCUUCUAGUAGUAAAACUUAAAAAGAUUUUUUGCAUGAAUACC